GCAAGUCGAGCGGACAGAUGGGAGCUUGCUCCCUGAUGUUAGCGGCGGACGGGUGAGUAACACGUGGGUAACCUGCCUGUAAGACUGGGAUAACUCCGGGAAACCGGGGCUAAUACCGGAUGCUUGAUUGAACCGCAUGGUUCAAUUAUAAAAGGUGGCUUUUACCUACCACUUACAAAUGGACCCCCGCCCCAUUACCUAUUUGGUAAGGUAACGGCUCACCAAGGCAACAAUCCUUACCCAACCUGAAAGGUUGAUCGGCCACACUGGAACUGAAACACGGCCCAAACUCCUACGGAAGGCACCAUUAGGGAAUCUUCCCCAAUGAACAAAAUUCUAACGAACCACCGCCCCGUGAUUGAUGAAGGUUUUCGAAUCGAAAAAUUCUGUUGUUAGGAAAAACCAAUUACCGUUCAAUUAGGGCGGUACCUUGACGGUACCUAACCAAAAACCCACGGCUAACUACUUGCCACCACC
rnacentral:rRNA from 1 species